rnacentral:rRNA from 1 species
AUUGAACGCUGGCGGCAGGCCUAACACAUGCAAGUCGAGCGGAUGAAGGGAGCUUGCUCCUGGAUUCAGCGGCGGACGGGUGAGUAAUGCCUAGGAAUCUGCCUGGUAGUGGGGGAUAACGUCCGGAAACGGGCGCUAAUACCGCAUACGUCCUGAGGGAGAAAGUGGGGGAUCUUCGGACCUCACGCUAUCAGAUGAGCCUAGGUCGGAUUAGCUAGUUGGUGGGGUAAAGGCCUACCAAGGCGACGAUCCGUAACUGGUCUGAGAGGAUGAUCAGUCACACUGGAACUGAGACACGGUCCAGACUCCUACGGGAGGCAGCAGUGGGGAAUAUUGGACAAGGGGCGAAAGCCUGAUCCAGCCAUGCCGCGCGUGUGAAGAAGGUCUUCGGAUUGUAAAGCACUUUAAGUUGGGAGGAAGGGCAGUAAGUUAAUACCUUGCUGUUUUGACGUUACCAACAGAAUAAGCACCGGCUAACUUCGU